rnacentral:rRNA from 1 species
GACGAACGCUGGCGGCGUGCUUAACACAUGCAAGUCGAACGAUGAAGUUCCUUCGGGAAUGGAUUAGUGGCGGACGGGUGAGGAACACGUGAACAAUCUGCCCCUUACACGGGAAUAACUUCGGGAAACCGAAGCUAAUACCCGAUAUUGAAUUCGGUAGGCAUCUACUGAAUUUGAAAUGGUCCGCCGGUAAGGGAUGAGUUCGCGGCCUAUCAGCUUGUUGGUGAGGUAACGGCUCACCAAGGCGACGACGGGUAGCCGGCCUGAGAGGGCGACCGGCCACACUGGGACUGAGACACGGCCCAGACUCCUACGGGAGGCAGCAGUGGGGAAUAUUGCGCAAUGGACGAAAGUCUGACGCAGCAACGCCGCGUGAGGGAUGACGGCCUUCGGGUUGUAAACCUCUUUCAAUCGGGACGAAGCGAAAGUGACGGUACCGAUACAAGAAGCACCGGCUAACUAUGUGCCAGCCGCCGCAGUAA